AAAAAGGAUGAACCAUCUGCCCUCUCUCUCUCGUUCCCCAUUGUUGAGCUUGGAGUCCUUCGCCUCUACUCACACCAACAGUAGCCUUCCUGAAGUAGCUGCAUCUAGCUUGCUGGUUGGUAAAAUCGCAAUAUACUUGUCACUCAAUUGGUCGCAGGUGUUGAACAUGGAGCUUAGAAGCUUAUCACCUAGGAUCUCUUCCACAACAUCUGCUGCUAGAUCUGAAAUUGUGAUCCAUGCAUCCACUUCACUAUUCCUUUGCAGAAGGAUUUCAUGCAAUAUUUAAUGAUGGAGAAAGGAUAUCAAAUGAACUGAGUAUGCACAUUGAAAGGUUUUCUUCGAAAAAUGUCACUCCGAGGUUACGAGGAGAAUUGAGGGUCAUGAAAGCUGCUGAUGACUCCAUUGCUUCAGCAUUACCCAUUAUGUCUACAGUACCUUGAUGCAUCUCUGAUGCCGUUGCUGAUGACUUAUUGCUUCAGAAAUAUCCUUCAUGUGUCCAGUACCUUGAUGCAUCUCUGAUGCCAUCGACGUAUUGUAACCAGCCUCUGUGUUGGGAUAUGUGAGAUUACGCAAAGAUGUCAAGCUAAGUAUUGACAGGAGAUACUUAGAUGAAUAAACAAUUUCACGCACUGGAUGUGUUGAUUUGGCGCCGUUGUUGGUUCCCAGUCUUUUCAUUUGGCGCCAAGCUUUUACUGUUACCGCCGGACGGAGCUGUUUGUUUUAGAAACGUGAGGAAGUUGAAGUCGUUACGGACGGACGGACGGACGCUUGAAUGGAAAUAGGAACAGAUAGAAAAGAACCACGUAGCGGGAGGAGGGACCGCAGCAGGAAAAUUGGAGCAAGGAAGCCGCGUCCCCUGCAAACCAAGAAAUCGAAUAUUGAUAAUUUACCUUGCAUGGCUCCUUGAUUGAUG